GACGGAGGAUGCAAGCGUUAUCCGGAAUGAUUGGGCGUAAAGCGUCCGCAGGUGGCAGUUCAAGUCUGCUGUCAAAGACCGGGGCUUAACUUCGGAAAGGCAGUGGAAACUGAACAGCUAGAGUAUGGUAGGGGCAGAGGGAAUUCCUGGUGUAGCGGUGAAAUGCGUAGAUAUCAGGAAGAACAUCGGUGGCGAAGGCGGCCUUCUGGACAGUGACUGACGCUGAGACGCGAAAGCGUGGGGAGCAAACAGG
rnacentral:rRNA from 1 species